GUGCCCUUACGUUCAAGCAAGGAAAAUGUAAAUCGAUUCCUAUUCCUCCAAGCCAUCAUCAACAGUCUCUCUUCACUCUCUUCACAGUCUCUCAAAAAGUUGUUGACUGCUAGCAAAACAUACCUGGGAAGUUCUUCUGAAUGUGAAAGAGGCUUCUCUGUCCUCAAUGCCACUGCCACAGAUGCAAGGAAUGGCCUUCAAGUCAGGAGCCUCUCUGCAGUACUUUUCAUUGACAUUAAUGGCCCCCCUCUCAAGAUGUUUGACGCUUACCCGUAUAUUCAGUCUUGGCUUAGGGAGAAGAGCUUUGACACAAUUAGAACACUGUCUUCUGAUCAAUGUGGAAGCAGCCAAAUAUCUCUAAAUGAAAGAAAACCCGGGUUUAUCUUUGCAACAAUACCCUUCACAAGGUGUUCAGAUGAAGAAAAAAAGAUGCUAAAGCUCCAGAAGAAGGACACAGAUUCAGUUCACAUUAAGAGGAGCAUCCAGCAGGACACACAGAAGAUCAAAAAAAAAGAAUUAAAAAAACAAUUUGGUAAAUGUAACGUGUUUAUAUCUGUAGAUAUAUUGGGAUUAAUCAGAGGAUUACAUCUUAAGUUACUGAAAUAUUGAAGAAAACGUAUCGUAAAGUCAUCAAAGACAUGAGAAGACAUUUACAAUUACCCAUAGAAGGUCUGUGAUACCAUACUCUCACACACCAUGGACCAGUUCUCCUUCACAAACACCUUGUUAGUGUCACUGUGCUUCAAGCAGACAGGUUUGAACAGGACACAAUGGUGUUUCCUGAAGAUGCACUGAGCAGGACUUUGAAGGUCUAUCCAGAGCUCAGUGAGAGUAAGCUGAAGACAGAGCUUAGUCUCAUCUACUGCAAGGAAGAGUUCAGAAGCUCUCGUGCUGCUGUGGACCUUCUCCAGCUGUUUAUGGAGAACAAUCUUGAGGAAUAUUUUAAGAGGAGGAAAUAUGAUGAGGAAAAAAGGGAAAUGAUUCAAAUAAAGACAGACAUUGUAAAUGAUAAUGUUCAGAAGCUUUAAGAAGGAAAUACUUGUGUUCAAACAUCUCAUGAUUUACCCCCAAACAUACAGGAUUGAUGGAAAGAAUAAUAUUAAUUUCUAAAUGUCCUAGUUUGUCAUACACUGCUCCACACUCCAGUCUCGUGUGUGGCAUUAAUGCACCUUUAAAAUCAGCCACCAAUCAAAUCAAAAGAAGAAGAAGAAGCUUUUCCUACAAGAAAAAUCCUGAUCCAUACUUUAUUCCAGUUGGUGGCGGUAAUGAAACAGUUUGGCUGCAAUCCGCAAAUAAACACCAGAGAAGAAGAAGUAGAGCCGAUGACGUCAGCACUCGCGCACGCUUCAGUUCAGCGGUUUUCUGAGAGACGUAAUUAGACUCCGCCCAUGCAUUUCCAUUCCUCGCUGGUGAAAUCCAUGAAGACGUUGCCAUUAUCCUCGUGUGGCUUUGAAAGUCAUUGGGAAAUUUUGCUUGCCACCUAAUGCAAAAGUUACAUACAAGGAUGCAACAGGGACAGAAGUCGAUGCAGAAAUAUUCAGCGACCUCAUUGGACAAGGCAAUGUGGUGCUGACUGUUUGCUCAAAUGAUGAAUUUUCAGACUCUUUGUCUUCCAUAUCUGAGAAGUCUGACAAAAGCAACAGUUCAAGUGCAUCAACUGUAAUCUUUCAUGAGGUCCCUAACAAGAGACAAAGAAAAGAGGACACGUCUGCACUGUCUGCAAAACAGGCAACUCCGUACUUAAGCUAUCAGAGAACAGUAUGCUGUUUGCGUAGUGAUACUGUUCCCUCAAAGAUCCAUAUUCCAAGAAAGGCUACGAACACUUUUAUGAUGCUGCAAGCAACAUAGGAUAUAUUGCUUGGCAUAUGGAAACAGUCCACAGGAAGAUGAGACGAGACGAGAAAUGGCAUCCCUUCUUUAACUGAUACAUCUCCUUCCACCAUCACCAGGAGGAUUGAAGUCUCCAAAAACAGUCCAUGUGAUGCUGCUGAAAGACUUGUAAUCUUUCAUAAGUCAUGCUGCAGUUUGGAGGAGCCCCUCAACAACAUCCAGCAUCAGCAUCCCUACCUCCUUGCUGUUGGACGCCAGAAAAGCAAGACUGAGUGCUUCUACAUCAUCUUGGAUAAGCAUCUCAUCCCAUGCCAGG